AGACUUGCCUCAAAGGACAGAGUUCUCUGGAAGAAGAAUCAUGAUAAAGUAGAGGGGUUUUGAGGACACACAGGCAAAAGUAUGGGUACAGUUGCCUUAGGUCUUGGCAGAUGAUGCCCUCGGGCCCCCAUUUUUCCUGUCCUUAGAGACUCCCUGCCCCAGUGGGGACUCAUUGACAACAAUUUCAAGGGGCUGGCCGGAAGCAUGGGUCUUCCUCAUCUGACUGUCAGCUUAUUUCAGCCUACCAUGAAGGGUUCUGGAAGAGUGGGUGAACUGGACUUUGACGAGCCUGUAGAAUGCCAUGCAGGAUGGAGCAGUGACAAAGACAGCAGAAAACACGCGCAGGGACAGCCAAGAUGCAGCAGGGAUACUACUCACUGGGCACCCGACUGGCCCCAUCAUGAAGCUUCUGACAGCAGGAAAACACCAGUCAGCCCUGUAACGAUCAGCCACAAAGUCAUCCACCAGGGCGAUUCAGGUCAUCCACCCCACCUCAAUUGUGUUUGUUAGGGACAAAUAUUUAGAAGUUUCAUGUUUGUGGGAUUAUCUCAAUGUCUUUGCAGUCUGGAGGGUGUCUUUACAGAGCUGAAUGAGUCAAGUGCCUAUUCUGAUGCCAUAGAAUCAUAUAAUUAAAAAGGUCCUUAAAAGAUGACGUCACUCCAGCUCAAUGGGUUGGGGGAUCUCCUCUGGGAGAAAUGUUUUGGAUCUAGACAGAGGGGCAUUACACAACAUUGUCAAUGUAGUAAAUGCCACUAAAUUUGCACCUGAAAAUGGUUAAUUUUUUGUUGUGUGAAUUUCAUCUCAAUUUUUAAAAAAGAUUAUAUCGUUCAGUCUUUUAUUUUGAAGAUGUGGGAACAAGUAGUGGGAGGAUGGUAUCCAAAGCCCACUCAGGGUGCAGGCAGGUCCCUAACACACCGAUCACCCUGCCCAGACUUCAACCUAAUCAUUCCCGCUUCGCUACAUGGCCUGUGCUGUCGUAAGGCAGUGAGCUCAGGGCUGAAUGUACCCAGCAGAGAAAAUUCAUAUCCUCAAAAACUCUCUCCCCAGAAGUUUUGUGAUUUUGUUUGUUCAUGUAUUUUUUCCCACAAUAAGGAAAUAAAAAUGUAUCUAGACUUACA
rnacentral:lncRNA from 10 species